rnacentral:rRNA from 1 species
UGGAGGCAAACUCCGAAGACCAAUACGUUUACUCCGGGAGUCAGUUGCUGGGGGAUAAACUUCAGCGUCAAAAGGGAAACAGCCCAGACCGCCAGCUAAGGUCCCCAAGUUCUAGCUAAGUGGCAAACGAUGUCCGAGUGCAUAGACAACCAGGAGGUUGGCUUAGAGGCAGCCAUCCUUGAAAGAGUGCGUAACAGCUCACUGGUCAAGUGCUCGGGCGCGGAUAAUGUAACGGGGCUCAAGCUAGACACCGAAGCUGCGGGUGUGAUCCUUCGGGAUUGCGCGGUAGGAGAGCGUUCCCUGGCCAGUGAAGCGGCGGCGGAAGCCAGCCGUGGAGGCCUGGGAAGUGAGAAUGCCGGCAUGAGUAACGAAAGAGGGGUGAGAAUCCCCUCCGCCGAUUGCCCAAGGAUUCCUGAGUAAAGUUCGUCUGCUCAGGGUUAGUCGGGACCUAAGGCGAGGCCGAAAGGCGUAGUCGAUGGCCAACAGGUUGAUAUUCCUGUACCACGUCAGCAACCGUUUGACCGAUGGGGGGACGAGGAAGGCUAAGGGAACCCAGGCGAUGGUCGUCCUGGGGUAAGUGUGUAGGGGUGACCCCUGUGAAAUGCGGGGUUGCAUAACCUGAGACACGAUGCCAGCUGGCUCUAAGCCGGCGAGUCCCAGACGCCAUGCCUCCUAGAAAAGCCUCUAGGGAGGUUGCGCGUGCCCGUACCAAAACCGACACAGGUGGGCAAGUAGAAAAUACUAAGGUGAUCGAGAUAACCCUCGUUAAGGAACUCGGCAAAAUUGCUCCGUAACUUCGGGAUAAGGAGCGCCCCGGUAGGGUGAAACGACUUGCGCGUGGAGCCCGAGGGGGCCGCAGUGAAUUGGCCCAAGCGACUGUUUACCAAAAACACAGGUCUCUGCUAAGUCGAAAGACGACGUAUAGGGGCUGACGCCUGCCCGGUGCCGGAAGGUUACGUGGAGUUGUUAGGCGCAAGCCGAAGCAGCGAAGCUAAGCCCCGGUAAACGGCGGCCGUAACGAUAACGGUCCUAAGGUAGCGAAAUUCCUUGUCGGGUAAGUUCCGACCUGCACGAAUGGCGUAACGACUUGGGCGCUGUCUCAACGAGGGGCUCGGUGAAAUUGCAGUCUCGGUGAAGAUGCCGAGUACCCGCGGCUAGACGGAAAGACCCCGUGCACCUUUACUACAACCUGGUAUUGGAAUGCGGUGCAUUUCGCUCAGGAUAGGUGGGAGGCUUUGAAGCAUCGGCUGCGGCUGGUGUGGAGCCAACCUUGAGAUACCACCCUUGAUGUAUUGUGUUUCUAACAUUGCGCCGUGAAUCCGGGCAGUGGACAGUGCCAGGCGGGUAGUUUGACUGGGGCGGUCGCCUCCC